CUGUUCGAGCAAUGUACAGAUACUACAAACGUCUUGAUGAUUGUUGCCUGUAGGUGGCACUACUUGUUCAUUGAGCGAAGUUUGAAACGAUGAUAUUUCUUA